AUGAACGCUGGCGGCGUGCUUAACACAUGCAAGUCGAGCGAAGCACUUUACUUGGAUUUCUUCGGAAUGACGAGUAUUGUGACUGAGCGGCGGACGGGUGAGUAACGCGUGGGUAACCUGCCUCAUACAGGGGGAUAACAGUUAGAAAUGACUGCUAAUACCGCAUAAGACCACAGCACCGCAUGGUGCAGGGGUAAAAACUCCGGUGGUAUGAGAUGGACCCGCGUCUGAUUAGCUGGUUGGUGGGGUAACGGCCUACCAAGGCGACGAUCAGUAGCCGGCCUGAGAGGGCGACCGGCCACAUUGGGACUGAGACACGGCCCAAACUCCUACGGGAGGCAGCAGUGGGGAAUAUUGCACAAUGGGGGAAACCCUGAUGCAGCGACGCCGCGUGAAGGAAGAAGUAUUUCGGUAUGUAAACUUCUAUCAGCAGGGAAGAAAAUGACGGUACCUGACUAAGAAGCCCCGGCUAACUACGUGCCAGCAGCCGCGGUAAUACGUAGGGGGCAAGCGUUAUCCGGAUUUACUGGGUGUAAAGGGAGCGUAGACGGAGAGGCAAGUCUGAUGUGAAAACCCGGGGCUCAACCCCGGGACUGCAUUGGAAACUGUUUUUCUAGAGUGUCGGAGAGGUAAGCGGAAUUCCUAGUGUAGCGGUGAAAUGCGUAGAUAUUAGGAGGAACACCAGUGGCGAAGGCGGCUUACUGGACGAUGACUGACGUUGAGGCUCGAAAGCGUGGGGAGCAAACAGGAUUAGAUACCCUGGUAGUCCACGCCGUAAACGAUGACUACUAGGUGUCGGGUGGCAAAGCCAUUCGGUGCCGCAGCAAACGCAAUAAGUAGUCCACCUGGGGAGUACGUUCGCAAGAAUGAAACUCAAAGGAAUGGCCGGGGACCCGCACAAGCGGUGGAGCAUGUGGUUUAAUUCGACGCUACGCGAAGAACCUUACCAGGGCUUGACAUCUGGCUAAAUACCCUAGAGAUAGGGGGAUAGCUAUAGCCAAGACAGGUGGUGCAUGGUUGUCGUCAGCUCGUGUCGUGAGAUGUUGGGUUAAGUCCCGCAACGAGCGCAACCCCUAUCUUCAGUAGCCAGCGGUUUGGCCGGGCACUCUGGAGAGACUGCCAGGGAUAACCUGGAGGAAGGUGGGGAUGACGUCAAAUCAUCAUGCCCCUUAUGAGCAGGGCUACACACGUGCUACAAUGGCGUAAACAAAGGGAGGCGAACUCGCGAGGGUAAGCAAAUCCCAAAAAUAACGUCUCAGUUCGGAUUGUAGUCUGCAACUCGACUACAUGAAGCUGGAAUCGCUAGUAAUCGCGAAUCAGAAUGUCGCGGUGAAUACGUUCCCGGGUCUUGUACACACCGCCCGUCACACCAUGGGAGUCAGUAACGCCCGAAGUCAGUGACCCAACCGUAAGGAGGGAGCUGCCGAAGGUGGGACCGAUAACUGGGGUG
rnacentral:rRNA from 1 species